AGGUGUAAAGGUGGUAACAUCAAAGCCGAGCAUUACUAAUUGCCCGUUCACUUUCUUU
rnacentral:rRNA from 2 species